GGAAUAUUGGUCAAUGGGCGCAAGCCUGAACCAGCCAUGCCGCGUGGAGGAUGAAGGUCCUCUGGAUUGUAAACUUCUUUUAUUUGGGACGAAAAACGGGAAAUCUUUCUCACUUGACGGUACCAGAUGAAUAAGCACCGGCUAACUCCGUGCCAGCAGCCGCGGUAAUACGGAGGGUGCAAGCGUUAUCCGGAUUCACUGGGUUUAAAGGGUGCGUAGGCGGGCUGUUAAGUCAGUGGUGAAAUCUUUGGGCUUAACCCGAAAACUGCCAUUGAUACUAUCAGUCUUGAAUAUUGUGGAGGUCUGCGGAAUAUGUCAUGUAGCGGUGAAAUGCUUAGAUAUGACAUAGAACACCAAUUGCGAAGGCAGCAGGCUACGCACAUAUUGACGCUGAGGCACGAAAGCGUGGGGAUCAAACAGGAUUAGAUACCCUGGUAGUCCACGCCCUAAACGAUGGAUACUCGACAUACGCGAUACACAGUGUGUGUCUGAGCGAAAGCAUUAAGUAUCCCACCUGGGAAGUACGACCGCAAGGUUGAAACUCAAAGGAA
rnacentral:rRNA from 1 species